AUUGAACGCUGGCGGCAGGCCUAACACAUGCAAGUCGAGCGGUAGCACAGAGAGCUUGCUCUCGGGUGACGAGCGGCGGACGGGUGAGUAAUGUCUGGGAAACUGCCUGAUGGAGGGGGAUAACUACUGGAAACGGUAGCUAAUACCGCAUAACGUCGCAAGACCAAAGUGGGGGACCUUCGGGCCUCAUGCCAUCAGAUGUGCCCAGAUGGGAUUAGCUAGUAGGUGGGGUAACGGCUCACCUAGGCGACGAUCCCUAGCUGGUCUGAGAGGAUGACCCGCCCCACUGGAACUGAGACACGGUCCAGACUCCUACGGGAGGCAGCAGUGGGGAAUAUUGCACAAUGGGCGCAAGCCUGAUGCAGCCAUGCCACGUGUGUGAAGAAGGCCUUCGGGUUGUAAAGCACUUUCAGCGGGCAGGAAGGCGGUGAGGUUAAUAACCUCAUCGAUUGACGUACCCCCAGAAAAAGCCCCGGUAAAUUCCGGCCAGCAGCCGCGGUAAUACGGAAGGUGCAAGCGUAAUUCGAAUUAAUGGGCGUAAAGCGCACGCAGGCGGUCUGUCAGUCGGAUGUGAAAUCCCCGGGCUCAACCUGGGAACUGCAUUCGAAACUGGCAGGCUAGAGUCUUGUAGAGGGGGGUAGAAUUCCAGGUGUAGCGGUGAAAUGCGUAGAGAUCUGGAGGAAUACCGGUGGCGAAGGCGGCCCCCUGGACAAAGACUGACGCUCAGGUGCGAAAGCGUGGGGAGCAAACAGGAUUAGGUACCCUGGUAGUCCACGCCGUAAGCGAUGUCGAUUUGGAGGUUGUGCCCUUGAGGCGUGGCUUCCGGAGCUAACGCGUUAAAUCGACCGCCUGGGGAGUACGGCCGCAAGGUUAAAACUCAAAUGAAUUGACGGGGGCCCGCACAAGCGGUGGAGCAUGUGGUUUAAUUCGAUGCAACGCGAAGAACCUUACCUGGUCUUGACAUCCACAGAACUUUCCAGAGAUGGAUUGGUGCCUUCGGGAACUGUGAGGCAGGUGCUGCAUGGCUGUCGUCAGCUCGUGUUGUGAAAUGUUGGGUUAAGUCCCGCAACGAGCGCAACCCUUAUCCUUUGUUGCCAGCGGUUAGGCCGGGAACUCAAAGGAGACUGCCAGUGAUAAACUGGAGGAAGGUGGGGAUGACGUCAAGUCAUCAUGGCCCUUACGACCAGGGCUACACACGUGCUACAAUGGCAUAUACAAAGAGAAGCGACCUCGCGAGAGCAAGCGGACCUCAUAAAGUAUGUCGUAGUCCGGAUUGGGGUCUGCAACUCGACUCCAUGAAGUCGGAAUCGCUAGUAAUCGUAGAUCAGAAUGCUACGGUGAAUACGUUCCCGGGCCU
rnacentral:rRNA from 1 species